rnacentral:rRNA from 1 species
UGAGAGCGGCGUACGGGUGCGGAACACGUGUGCAACCUGCCUUUAUCUGGGGGAUAGCCUUUCGAAAGGAAGAUUAAUACCCCAUAAUAUGUUGAAUGGCAUCAUUCGACAUUGAAAACUCCGGUGGAUAGAGAUGGGCACGCGCAAGAUUAGAUAGUUGGUGAGGUAACGGCUCACCAAGUCUACGAUCUUUAGGGGGCCUGAGAGGGUGAUCCCCCACACUGGUACUGAGACACGGACCAGACUCCUACGGGAGGCAGCAGUGAGGAAUAUUGGACAAUGGGUGAGAGCCUGAUCCAGCCAUCCCGCGUGAAGGACGACUGCCCUAUGGGUUGUAAACUUCUUUGUAUAGGGAUAAACCUACCCUCGUGAGGGUAGCUGAAGGUACUAUACGAAUAAGCACCGGCUAACUCCGUGCCAGCAGCCGCGGUAAUACGGAGGGUGCAAGCGUUAUCCGGAUUUAUGGGGUUUAAAGGGUCCGUAGCGGAUCUGUAAGUCAGUGGUGAAAUCUCACAGCUUAACUGUGAAACUGCCAUUGAUACUGCAGGUCUUGAGUGUAGUUGAAGUAAGCUGGAAUAAGUAGUGUAGCGGUGAAAUGCU